rnacentral:rRNA from 1 species
UCGAACGAUGAAGCCCUUCGGGGUGGAUUAGUGGCGAACGGGUGAGUAACACGUGGGCAAUCUGCCCUUCACUCUGGGACAAGCCCUGGAAACGGGGUCUAAUACCGGAUAAUACUUUCUCCCUCCUGGGAGAAGGUUGAAAGCUCCGGCGGUGAAGGAUGAGCCCGCGGCCUAUCAGCUAGUUGGUGGGGUAAUGGCCUACCAAGGCGACGACGGGUAGCCGGCCUGAGAGGGCGACCGGCCACACUGGGACUGAGACACGGCCCAGACUCCUACGGGAGGCAGCAGUGGGGAAUAUUGCACAAUGGGCGAAAGCCUGAUGCAGCGACGCCGCGUGAGGGAUGACGGCCUUCGGGUUGUAAACCUCUUUCAGCAGGGAAGAAGCGAAAGUGACGGUACCUGCAGAAGAAGCGCCGGCUAACUACGUGCCAGCAGCCGCGGUAAUACGUAGGGCGCAAGCGUUGUCCGGAAUUAUUGGGCGUAAAGAGCUCGUAGGCGGCUUGUCACGUCGGUUGUGAAAGCCCGGGGCUUAACCCCGGGUCUGCAGUCGAUACGGGCAGGCUAGAGUGUGGUAGGGGAGAUCGGAAUUCCUGGUGUAGCGGUGAAAUGCGCAGAUAUCAGGAGGAACACCGGUGGCGAAGGCGGAUCUCUGGGCCAUUACUGACGCUGAGGAGCGAAAGCGUGGGGAGCGAACAGGAUU